UACGGGGGGGGCAAGCGUUGUUCGGAAUUACUGGGCGUAAAGCGUGCGUAGGUGGUUUGUUAAGUCUGUUGUGAAAGCCCCGGGCUCAACCUGGGAAUGGCAAUGGAUACUGGCAAGCUAGAGUGCGGUAGAGGGUAGUGGAAUUCCCGGUGUAGCGGUGAAAUGCGUAGAGAUCGGGAGGAACACCAGUGGCGAAGGCGGCUACCUGGACCAGCACUGACACUGAGGCACGAAGCGUGGGGAGCAAACAGG
rnacentral:rRNA from 1 species